CCUGAGUACUCAUAAGAGGGAAAAGAAAGCAAAAGGGAUGCCGGUGGUGGCAGAUGCUUCCUCCUGGCCAAAUCCCAAAUCCCACCCUCAGCACCCACACCCUGAGCAGUGGGCAGGAGAAGCCUGAAAACGUCUGUACAAAUGGCUUCCGAGAAGCCCUGGGGAUAAAGGAGCCAGAGGCAGUCACACAUGGUUCCCAGAAGCUGAAUGCUGCGCAGACGACAGAAUGACUUCACCCAUCCUGCUUCCACCCGCCAUAGCAGUGACCAAAGCAGCUCUGGGACCACAGCUGAGCACCUCAGAAGAUAAGUCCUGGGGUGAUUCUUGUCAUCUCCGUGAAAAGGAGAGGACAAAAAGGCAGAGGCUGCUGCUUGAGGAUCCCUUCACCUGGGCUGCAUAGCUUCACCCAUGCUGACCAACUUCCCUAUUUCAAGCUUCAGACUCACAGCCGCGCUAGUUAGGGUACAACUUGUUCAGACAGCUGUUUUCAUUCACAUCUCCAAAGGUCCUCUACCUUAGAAGAAAGAAAGAGGGAAAGAGAAAUAAAAGAGAUUAAUUAAGAACACUGGGGCCAGGCGCAGUGGCUCACGCCUGUAAUCCCAGCACUUUGGGAGGCUGAGGCAGGCGGAUCACCUGAGGUCAGGAGUUGGAGACCAGCCUGGCCAACAUGGCAAAACCCCAUCUCUACUAAAAAUACAAAACUUAGCCAGGCAUGGUGGUGGGUACCUGUAAUCCCAGUUACUUUGGAGGCUGAGGCAGGAGGAUGGCUUGAAUCUGGGAGGCAGAGGUUGCAGUGAGCAGAGAUCAUGCCAUUGCACUCCAGCCUGAGUGACAAGAGACUCUGUCUCAAAAAUAAAAACAAAAAACAAAAAAACAAAAACACACACAUCUGAACCCGCAGUUUCAUAAGUGGUAAAUAAAAAUGCCACGCACCACGAAUCAGAAAUAACGUGGCUCUGGGUUGGUGUCUCUCCCCCACCAACCAGGGAACGAAUGCACCCCUUCGCCAGGGGCAGCAGAGGGAGGUGGCUCUGUCUUCCUGCCUGCAUCCUCCUGUUUCAUCAUCAAGGUUCUGUGUGGCCCAGCGGCCUGGGGCUCUUUCGUUUGCCCCCUCCCUGCCCUCCAUCAGGGGUGCCUAAUGGGGCUCCCGAGUGCGCUUCCGCUGUCAUCUAUCCCUCUCCAUUGUGUCCUGAGCCCUCCACGAGCUCAUGUGUGAGCUUGAAGAUCAGACACCACAGACACUCUUCCCCACUCUGCCUCAGCUGCCAAACCCGGAGGAGAAGGAAGGACGGAUCAGACACCAAGACAGAAAAACAGAGUACCUGAGAAAGGCAGAGAGCUGUCUCCUGCCUCAGCCCCCAGAGGCCCGUGUGCCCCUCACUUCCCUCCCUUGAUUCCCACCAUCUGGGGUCUACCUCUAAAUUGACAAACUCUUGCUUGGUCACAUCUGGUUCAAGAGAAAGAAACAAGGAGUUUGGAAACCUAAACUAAUAGGCAGCACUUGGCACGCACAAUAGAAGCAGCUGCUGUUUAUAGCCCUUUUUAAGGGUGGCCUCAGGCCGGACCUCACACUUCCCUCCCUGUGGGGCAUUGUUUUACACAAAGCAUCUGCAACCUCACAAUCUUGCAACUCAAAAAAAAAAGAAAAAGAAAAUUCAUGCAUCCCAUGAAUCUAUGAAGCUAUAACAAACUCUCUUUCCUGGGAAAACUUCCCAGGUCUGCUCCUAUUUCCCUCUCAGAGUAAGGCAGGUCCAUAUGGUUCCUAAUGCCUCAAUUUCUCUAUCCAUUAAGUGGGAAUAUAAAAUCAGCCAGUCAGCUAUCCAGUUAAAAUGCUAUCCCAGCCGGGCGCGGUGGCUCAUACCUGUAAUCCCAG
rnacentral:lncRNA from 1 species